rnacentral:lncRNA from 1 species
UUGAGCUGGUUUACAUAAACAUCAUAUCAUAAGAUCAUGUACAUACAAAAGGGAUUAACAAUGUACUAUGGUCAAGCACAGCUCUAUCCUCAAUAACCUCAUUACAUAACAUACUGAAAUUUUACAUUUCAUCAUAAUACAAUUGUCAUGUCCACAAUCUAACUAUUACAUGCAUACGACUUUCUUUUUCUCUUCUUGCCUUCUCUAUCUAUCCCGCACCUGCAAACCUGGGGGUUAGGGGAGAGGGGUGAGCUAGAUGCCCAGUGAGUAGAACUAUAAAAGGAUAUUAAAACAUGCCAUCAUGAAAUGGAUCACUGCACAAACAUUUCACAUCAUGGACGGACUGACCCAAAAAUCCCUCAGCUCCAUGCCCGGCCCUAUUAUGGGCACCACAGGACUUCGUAUUGCCCGGCCCUAUUAUGGGCACCACAGGACUUCGUAGAUCGGAGCUAUUGCCCGGCCCUAUUAUGGGCACCACAGGACUUCGUACAAAGGGCUAGUGAGUCGUGCAAUGUCUAUCCCCCAUCAACAUCAAAUAAUAAUGCAAUGCAACAUAAUUCGUGAUUCUAAUGCAACCAACCUAUAAUAUAAUCAUGAUGCAUGAAGCAUGAUAAAAGCAUUUCAUUUCUUAAUUUAAAAGGUUAAGUUUAGUUCCACUCACCUCUGGCUGACUCUGACAACUCUGUAGCAGCUGGUUCACAGCUGGGGUCCUUGGUUCCUCGGGUCCGAACCUACACAGGUGGACUCCAAUGAGGGACCAAACAUACAUAAACAUAACUCUAAUGUAUCCC